CGGAGGGUGCAAGCGUUAUCCGGAUUUACUGGGUUUAAAGGGUGCGUAGGUGGGUUUGUAAGUCAGUGGUGAAAUCUCCGAGCUUAACUCGGAAACUGCCAUUGAUACUAUAGAUCUUGAAUUAUCUGGAGGUAAGCGGAAUAUGUCAUGUAGCGGUGAAAUGCUUCGAUAUGACAUAGAACACCAAUUGCGAAGGCAGCUUACUACGGAUAUAUUGACACUGAGGCACGAAAGCGUGGGGAUCAAACAGGAUUAGAUACCCUGGUAGUCCACGCCCUAAACGAUGGAUACUCGACAUCAGCGAUACACUGUUGGUGUCUGAGCGAAAGCAUUAAGUAUCCCUCCUGGGAAGUACGAUCGCAAGAUUG
rnacentral:rRNA from 1 species